rnacentral:rRNA from 1 species
UACGUAGGGGGCAAGCGUUGUUCGGAUUUACUGGGCGUAAAGGGCGCGUAGGCGGCCACCGCAAGUCAGUUGUGAAAUCUCUGGGCUUAACCCAGAACGGUCAGCUGAUACUGCGGGGCUAGAGUGCAGAAGGGGCAACUGGAAUUCUCGGUGUAGCGGUGAAAUGCGUAGAUAUCGAGAGGAACACCUGCGGCGAAGGCGGGUUGCUGGGCUGACACUGACGCUGACAGCGCGAAAGCUAGGGGAGCGAACGGG